rnacentral:tRNA from 2 species
CGGGUAGUAGCUCAGCUUGGUAGAGCGUCCGUUUCGGGUGCGGAAGGCCACAGGUUCAAAUCCUGCCUACCCGA